CACAUGCAAGUCGAACGGAGUCAAGAGAAGCUUGCUUUUCUUGACUUAGUGGCGAACGGGUGAGUAACGCGUGAGUAACCUGCCCUGGAGUGGGGGACAACAGUUGGAAACGACUGCUAAUACCGCAUAAGCCCACGGCCCGGCAUCGGGCUGAGGGAAAAGGAUUUAUUCGCUUCAGGAUGGACUCGCGUCCAAUUAGCUAGUUGGUGAGGUAACGGCCCACCAAGGCGACGAUUGGUAGCCGGACUGAGAGGUUGAACGGCCACAUUGGGACUGAGACACGGCCCAGACUCCUACGGGAGGCAGCAGUGGGGGAUAUUGCACAAUGGGGGAAACCCUGAUGCAGCGACGCCGCGUGGAGGAAGAAGGUUUUCGGAUUGUAAACUCCUGUCGUUAGGGACGAUAAUGACGGUACCUAACAAGAAAGCACCGGCUAACUACGUGCCAGCAGCCGCGGUAAAACGUAGGGUGCAAGCGUUGUCCGGAAUUACUGGGUGUAAAGGGAGCGCAGGCGGGAAGACAAGUUGGAAGUGAAAACCAUGGGCUCAACCCAUGAAUUGCUUUCAAAACUGUUUUUCUUGAGUAGUGCAGAGGUAGAUGGAAUUCCCGGUGUAGCGGUGGAAUGCGUAGAUAUCGGGAGGAACACCAGUGGCGAAGGCGGUCUACUGGGCACCAACUGACGCUGAGGCUCGAAAGCAUGGGUAGCAAACAGGAUUAGAUACCCUGGUAGUCCAUGCCGUAAACGAUGAUUACUAGGUGUUGGGGGAUUGACCCCCUCAGUGCCGCAGUUAACACAAUAAGUAAUCCACCUGGGGAGUACGACCGCAAGGUUGAAACUCAAAGGAAUUGACGGGGGCCCGCACAAGCAGUGGAGUAUGUGGUUUAAUUCGAAGCAACGCGAA
rnacentral:rRNA from 1 species